GUAACCUAGGGGGGCAGCAGUGGGGGAUAUUGGACAAUGGGGGAAACCCUGAUCCAGCGAUGCCGCGUGAGGGAAGAAGGUUUUCGGAUUGUAAACCUCUGUGGAGGGGGACGAUAAUGACGGUACCCCUUUAGGAAGCCACGGCUAACUACGUGCCAGCAGCCGCGGUGAUACGUAGGUGGCAAGCGUUAUCCGGAUUUAUUGGGUGUAAAGGGUGCGUAGACGGGCUAACAAGUUGGUUGUGAGAUCCUUCGGCUUAACUGAGGAACUGCAACCAAAACUGUCAGUCUUGAGGGCAGGAGAGG
rnacentral:rRNA from 1 species